rnacentral:rRNA from 1 species
GACGACCGCUGGCGGCGUGCUAAACACAUGCAAGUCGAACGAAGUGGCGAACGGGUGAGUAACGCGUAAUCAACCUGCCCUUCAGAGGGGGACAACAGUUGGAAACGACUGCUAAUACCGCAUACCGAAGCAGGGGCGUGGGUCUGAUUAGAUAGGUGGAGGGGUAACGGCACACCAAGGCGAUGAUCAGUAGCCGGUCCGAGAGGAUGAACGGCCACAUUUGGACUGGGACACGGCCCAGACUCCUACGGGAGGCAGCAGUGGGGAAUCUUCCGCAAUGGACGAAAGUCUGACGGAGCAACGCCGCGUGGGUGAUGACGGCCUUCGGGUUGUAAAUCUCUGUUAAUCGGGACGCGGUACCGGAAUAGAAAGCCACGGCUAACUACGUGCCAGCAGCCGCGGUAAUUC